UUAAUCUAAUAACGGAGACUUGUGUAUGAUAGUAAUGGUGAUAUUUGUAUAA
rnacentral:guide_RNA from 1 species